rnacentral:lncRNA from 1 species
AGGGGAAGGGAAAAUGGACCAAAUUGCUCGCCACAACCCUAUCUAUUACAAGCCAAGAGGUGUACACAUACCCCAUAAAGAAUAACUUAAAUAAAAAGCAAAAGCAAAUGACAUAAAUGAAAGAAAUUAAAGAAAGGUUAGGAAAGCAAAGUAGACAUGUAUUUCACUUAGCACGUUGGAGCACGUAGGAAAAAUAACGCAAGAAUAUAGAAGUUAUACCUCCCUUGAAAUGAAGCUCUAAUGGAGUGAAAUCAACUUAUUUACCCUCCAAAAUAAUAAAGGGGUCAAGGUGCCAAUUUAUUUGACAAAUAAUCAUAAAUGACAAAAACAAACAUGAAUUUGAAUCGAUUAAAUCAUGUAGACAACCUACAUUUAAGAAGUCAAAAGAAGAAAGGACUUGAUUGCAAAAAUUAAUAAAGUCUUGGGGUCAAAAUUAAAGAAAAAUAAAGUAUAGGGGCCUAUUCGCAAUUAAAUUAGGGACCCAAUUGACAGCAUUGAAAGUUUGUAGGGCCCUAGUGAAAUUGAAGAAAAGUACAGGGGCUGAUCUGCAAAUUCGUUCUCUGGUUUCUUAAUGGAUCAAGCCACUUGGGCCGUUUCUUAUUUGUUGGGGCCGAAAGUCACCUGGCCCAAUCGAAACCCGAGCAAAACUGAUGGGCUAGCCUCAUUAUUUUUGCUAAUUGAACCCAAUUAAACCCCAAAUAAAGCCCAAGCAAAAGUAUUAGAUACCAGUCUCCUAAGCCCAAACCAAAAUCCAGAAAAUAAGUCAUUAAUCCACUUGUCAAACCCAAACAAUAAGUCCAAAUCAAACCUAACUUUAUUUAAUAAAACUCAACUAAAAAACUUGCUAACCUCUGAUUAUGCAUCAAGUCGCAACAUUAAUCUAUCCAGAAAUCACAUACAAUAUGCGAACAGAGGAUUAAGCUUAAAAGGGAGAAAUUAGUUUUAUUUUUCAGAUCUCUUGGCCACAAUGAAAUGAGACAGAAAAUGAGAGAUUAAAUCAGAAACUUGUGCUUCAGGACUCACGGAAGCUUUCUUUUUUUUGAUGCAAAUGAGAAGGAAAAGUUUCUGCAACUUUAUUCUUCUAGUGUCAUGUCAAACGUAGGCAAUACAGUCCAAACAAGCAGCAUUUUUCACUGAAAACAAACAACUGUGCAUUCUAUCAUUAAGACCCAAUACUAUACCCUGCAUUCCCAAUGAUUUUUGCAGCCCAGAUUACGCACAAAGGACACCAAGAGAAACAACCAUGAACACUUCGCAGAUUCGUCAGCUAGUCCCACAGAAACUUUAACCCAACAAGAAACCAUGCAAAUGUUGUGAGAUUAAUGACUCGAAAUUCCCUCUCCCCACUAUAUUAGCCAGGAAGAAAAGGUAUCUUUCAGUCAUGGAUUCCAAACAAAGUUCUGAAACUUGAAGAGAUAAAUAAAAUGACAUUGCAGUGGUCAAACACAUGGUUCAAAAAUCCCUCCCAAGAUCAUGCAACCCAGGCUAGGACUUUAUCUUAUUCAUUUAUUUCCUGGAACAUAGCAGGCCAUCAAAACAGAAACUUCUGUAUUGUUGUCGUUAUUAUAUCGUAAAACAAGGAGGAACCGCGCAUUGUUUGAAACAAACGGUUAAACCUCCGACUCUAACAUCAUUCUCCUUCUCUCACGGCAGGCUCCUAACACUAAACCGCACCCUGGGAGCACAUUCUAGGGGCAGCACCAAACAAUGCAAGCAAACAGCCAAAAUACAGGAUACAUAAAGGAGAAAGAAACAGAAAGUUUCAUGAACUUCCUCAGAUAUGCAUAAAACAAAAUUGUCCAGAUUGUUUUCCUUGGCUAAAACCUUCGCAGAGGGUUUUUAUCAAACAGGUCAAGGUCAUUAACAACAUUGAAUUGAUUCAUCAAUUUGCUCAAUAACAAAAGCCAACAUUUACAACAACCCAAUCAGUUGUCUGAUAGACAAGGCCCGACACAUUAGAAAGAGAUGAAAGAAUUUUUAUUGGGAAUUUUGAAUUCAUGCAACCGAAAACGGCAACGGAAUAAUUGCAAGAAAAUAGCAACGGCAAAAUGGAAGACAACAAUGCAUCAAAAUUUCUUAAACGUGAGGCAGGGAUUCGGCCAACUUAGCCGGUCUCUUCACACGCAAAAAUGCAGACAAACUCAUCUUAGAAUUUUGAUCAGGCAUUUCAUCGAAUAGGUUAGGGGUAUUAAAAGUUUCAUCAGAUUUUUGUUCAAGUUGAAAUCAAUCAGCCCCAAAAUUUACAGCAAACCCACAAGAAACCAAUUUAAUCAACAUACAGAAAAUGGUCAUAAACAAUCGACGCGAAAAUUGAGAUGCCAACCUUACAAAAAAAUAUACUUUGGCGGAAGAAGGAAAUGGAAAUGAAGAGGAUACCUUACUGUGACUUCUCACGGUGGUGAUGGUGAAUUCUGGCAGCGGCAGUGGCGGCAUCGGAGGUUGAAAGGUGGCGGCAAAGGUGGAGAGCAGCAGCGGCGGAUAAGGACUGGUAGUGGCAGAAGUGACGGCGUUGAUUUCUUCGGAAACAGCAACGGCCAGAAAUUGUUUCAAGCUUUUCGAAUUCAUCGAUUGGCGGCAGUGAUGCAGGGUUUUUUCUUUCAGCCGAGAGCCCUCACUCUCUCUGUUCCUUAGCCGAAGACCUCUUUUUUGUUGUUGUUUUGUUUUCCUUUCUUUUCUUGCUCUGUAGCCUCCCGAAGCUCCCUCUCUCGCUCCACAGCCGCCUUUGUUUUCCCCUCUUUUCUGAGCCCUCUCUGUUUUCCUUCCUUAGCCGAGCUUCCCCAAGUUUUGCAGAUUCCUUUUGCCGUUUUUCCCUUCCCAAUUCCUUUCAAUUUUUUCUUUUGCUCUGCUUUUUGUUCGGCCUUGACGAAGCCUCCUCUCUUUUUCUUGCCGUUCGCCGCCUUUUUUGUUCUCUGUUUUUCUUUCUUUCACCUCCCCCGUAACCCACUCCUCUAUUUUUUUUAGCUUUUUUUCCUUGUUUCCGCCGUAACCUCCUUUUUCCCUUGCACCCGUAGCCUUUUUUCAUUUCUCCUUGGCCCCCCCAAAAAUGUGUAACACCUAACCCUCUUACAUGCCUUGUUGCCCACAAUACAAGAGGGACACUUGUCUAGCAUGC